CCUCCUUCCCACGCGCUCCUCUCUGGCUCGUGUUGCCCCGCGGCUAGUUCCCGGGACCUGUCUCGGGGGAUUUGCUGGUUGCGUUUGAACAUUGCAGACUUCACAGGGGAAGCCUUCAGGGACCAGGAGAUGUUUAGCUAAGGCCUUGCCAAGGUGGCUUUGAAGAGGCGGCGGCAGCGUUCCCCACCCGCGCUGCUGGAACAGCCUCCCUCCCAGCACAGCCUGACCUCCUGGCCCUUCAAAGAGGGUUUAGCAGCCACCUCUGGUCUCGUGGACACCUGCUCUCCUCAGAGGUGAAUCAUCUGAGUCUGAGGCUCAGCUCUCCUGGGAGCAGCUGCACACCUGCUCUAGCCCUGCUUCCACCAAGCCUCAAGUCACCUCCAAGGGCUCUGAGGCCAGACAGACCAUGUUCAAGUCCUGCCUUCUUAUAUUGACUGCUGUGUGACCUCAGGCAAGUUACUUAACCUUUCUGAGCCUCAGUGUCCUCAAAAAAGUCAGUCCUCUUUCUCUCCCUGGCCUUUCCAGAGCUCUGGGCUGUAUUUAUCUCUCAAAUAUUCAUUGAAGAGGACCAGUUCUAGGCACUGGGGGGACCUGGUGGUGAACAAGCCACAGCCCCCACCCCAAGCCUGGUGGAGUCCGUGAGACUUACCCGCAGAACAAGACCCAAGGCCAGAGUACCGAUGCAGGCUCGCCUCCCCUCCCCCGUUUGCUCUGGGCUCAGGGUCACCGCUCCCUUUGUUGUCCACAAGAUGCUCGGGAGCCUGCUGCCUCCCUUCCCGCAGCUCUGGGCCUCUGUCAGGACUGGCCUCUGCUUUUCAUCUUCGUCUAAUCCCAAUAAAGAGCUUUCAAGUCUUGGCGGACGAGAAGCACCUCUCUGCUGGAGGUGGGGCAGGGGGAGUGUUGGAAGGGGAGACAGGGAGGAGACAGAGCAGGUGGGUGGGUGGCAGGCACAGCAUGAAUAAAGGCUGGGAGGUCGGAAGGCAGAGCCAGGGCGAGGGAAUGGUGAGAGGUUCAGUCUGACUGGGGAGGAGGGUCUCUUAGCAGAGCUGUGGGAUACAACUCCCACUGAGAUAUGAUUCCAGGUGGAUUAUAAAUGCUCGUCAGGUAGGGGUUCAGAUGCCAUUCCAGUUGGUCCUGUUGUCAUUGCUUUCUUUUUUAAAAUUGUGAAAUAGCAUACAUACACAGGAAGGUACAAUAGAUAUUAUAGAACAAAAUCCUGCGUGUCUACCACCCAGGUCAAGAAAGAGAACAUUCUAGUGCCCCAAAGCCUCUGGACACCCCCAAGACAACCCCUCUCCCCUCAGAGGCACCACGAUCCUGAAUUUGGGGCAAUCGCUUCCUGGCAUUUCUUUAUACUUUUAUCCUUUAGUUUGCAUCCCCAAGUAAUAUAGAUUGGUCUGGCUUGUUUUUGAACUUUGUAUAAUCAGAAUGAUACCGUGGGUGUUCUUUGCGACCUGCAUCUUUCACUCAACAUUAUGUUUUUAAAAAUAAUUUUAUUUAUUUAUGUUAAUUAAUUAAUUAAUUAGGCUGCUCCAGGUCUUCGUUGCGACAUGUGGAUCUUCAUUGCGGCGUGUGGGAUCUUUAGUUGUGGCGUGCGGACUUCCUAGUUGCGGCAUGCAUGCAGGAUCUAGUUCCCUGACCAGGGAUCGAACCUGGGCCUGCUGCGUUGGGAGCGUGGAGCCUUAGCCACUGGACUACCAGUGAAGUCCCUCAACAUUAUGUUUUUAAAGAUAUAUCCAGUUGACGGUCUAUGCCAUUUUGUGAAUCCUAUGCCAUUAUAUCAUGAAAAAUAACACAGACACAGAAAAGUACAAUACAUAUUAAAUAAAUAGCCCUGUGUGUCUACCACCCAGCUCAAGAGAGAGAACAUUCUAGUGUCCCAAAGCCCCUGUACCCCUCAACCCGCACAAGAUACCCCCUCUCUUGAGCAUCUGUGGAUUUUAGUAUCCAUGAUGGGUCCUGGAACCAAUGCCCCGUGGAUACCGAGUGAUGACGGUAUCCCCUUUUCCGUGUCCACAAGUAAAGUUUUAUUGGAACAGAGCCAUGCGUAGCCAUUCACGGCUCAUCUAUGGCCGCUUUUGCCCCACAGCAGCAGAGUUGAGUAGCUGUGAUAGAGACCAUAUGGCUCGCAAAGUGUAAAGUAUUUAGUACUUGGCCCUUUACAGAACAUGUUUGUCAACCCCUGCUGAGGAGCGUCCCAUUGAAUGAAUAUACUGCGAUCUAUUUAGUUAUGAUUGACGUCCCAGGUGUUCCCGUCUGUGGCUGUGAAUACUCAUGUGUGGUCUCCAGGCACACGUGUAUUCGGUGCCUCCAGGGGGUAUAUUCCCAUUAAGGCUGCUUCUCUCUGUGCUGUCCGCCUCCCUGUAUGGACUGUUAGCUUCGAGAGGGCAGAACACGUGCGGACUUACCUGGCUUCGAAUCCUUGACUCCCAGCAUGGCGCCUGGCACCCAGAGGAUGCCCGGGAGAUACUAACAGUAACAGGAUGAAUUCAACUCGCAGCCAGACAACCCCUGGAGUUCUGAGCAGUGUGGAGGUGUGAUGCCACCAGGAGAGGAGUGACAAAACCCUCCUGAUCCGUGAAUGAGGGGGUGGAUGUCGGGGUGCUGGGUAAACGUAAGCGGGAAACAGGAUUUGACCCUCCACCUGAUUGCUUGCUUGUUAAGGAUCUAGGUGGGGCCUCACGGUAGUGGGAGUGCGGGUGUCAGGCACCGGGGUGGGGGCCAAAGCCAGAGGAAGGGAAGGGGGCGAUUGAAAUGAGCCUGGAGAGGUGGAGGGAGAGGGAGUAGAUGUGACAUUGGCAGGUGGAGCAGCUCCCUGGCUUCCUGACCUACCUGGGUUUGAGUCCUGGAAGACUUUGUCCGAGUCACCUGACCGCUCUGAGCUCCUAUGUCCCUGUCAUGGCGCUCAGCACCCUCCUAUGCAGGCCUCUUGCCAGUGGCAAGAGGAGGGCACAUCCAGGACCACCGAUGGCCCCAGGGCUGGCACCUGGGACCCCUCAGGGAAGGUUCGUGGGUCUCCAUCGUGGGGACAGGCUGCCUGGAGGAGGGGGUGGGCCUGGUAUCUGCUCCCCCGUCAACACACACAGCCACCCCAAGACUGCGUGGGCUGUGGUGGAGGCAGGGUAGGGCCGGAGCUGGCGCCCUCUUGAGGCUCUAGGCCUGGUCCCUGCUUGCUGCUCACGGGCAGGUUGUGGGGUAGGGGUGGGGGCAGGAAGGAGGCACCAAGUGGGUGCAACCCAAGCUCAAGUGCAGGUUUGGCCUCCUCCCCUCAGGCAGCCCAUCCUCAGACAGUCAGGCGAGGCACUUGCUACAGCGUUGGCCAUAGGGUCCAAGGGCACGUUUCCGAAGGCGAGCUCAUACUUGGCAACACGUACCAAAAUUUAAAACAUGCAUACCCUUUAAAUCAGAACCUCCCCUUCUCAGGCCUGUCCUAUGGAGCUAGGGGCCCAAGAGAGAAUGUGUAUAUAUAAGGAUGAUCACCCCUGGGUCCAUGGAGCACAGCUGCAGACAGCCUCACUGCCAUCAGCUGGUUCUUGCUGUGGAGAAUUUCGGUAGAACCCUCCCCCUCCCCCCCCCCCGGCCCUGGGCUACCCUUUCCUCCCAGGUUCCUGCCCCCCUUCCCCACACCCCACUUUGAGCCGUGCUGGUGACUGUCUGCCCCUGAGCUUUCGUUCCUGCUGCUCCCUUGGCCUGGAAGGUGUCCUCUCACUUGCCUACCUGGUGACUCCAACCUGUUGGCCAAGGUCAAGCUCUGGUACUUUCUUACUUUCUCUGUGGUGCCCUUUCUGGUCAACUCUCCCAGUCCCUGAUGAACCAGUCUUGCUCCCCAGGGUGUUCACCUGUGGUUCUGAAUGUGCAGGAGCUCAGAGGUGUGGAGCACGACUGAGCUUACCUGGGGCAGGUGAGGGUACAGACAGCCGAGGAGCAAGUACCCAACCUUCGGAGGUGGCUGUGUAAGAAAGAGAGAAGGGGAAGGCUGGAGAGGAAGGGGUCUAUGGGGCCAGGGUCAAGGCCAGAAAGAACAGGAGCCACAGCUUAGCCACCAGGGUCUUUGCUGACCUCCCGGGCGGAAAGCAUCAGAUGUUGGGAGGGGAGGGGAUGGGACAAGAGGGAAGGACCAGGCUGGCAGACGGGAGGAUGCGGAAGGGGUGGGAGAGGAAGAUGGAGGGCAGUCGAGUGAUUCUGUGCCCGGAGGGUACAGGAUCUUUGGGGAGGGGGAGAUUUAAGAGAAGUCAGGAUAAAAGUGUGCUCUGGUGGAGGCAUCCACAGGAAGGAGUUAGUGUGUUGUCAGCCAGAAGCAUUUAUAUUUUAAAAGGAGGCUGGAGGUGGGGGCGCCGCAUCCCACAGAACGAGUCACUAACGCGAGGGUUUUGGGCAGCUGAGGAAGGCUGUUUGGAGCUCUCUAGUAUUUCUCUUGUCAUUUCCCUAACAUCAAGUGUGAGCGUGUCACUUCCCGAUUUUGAGGCCCACAGAGGCUCCCCAGGUUUCCAGGACAACAUUCAACCCCCCACCUCCCUCUGGUCCCGACUCCAACCCUUUCUUUCAACUCCACCACGGCUCUGGAGUCCCCCAACUCCUUGGCCUGGUUCAAGCCUUGUAGAAGCUUCGCCCAGCAGCUUUCCUGUGCUUAAACCCCCUCGCGUGGACCCUCCCCCCUAAACCUGGCUGCCUCCGAUGACUCUUUCUCCAAAGCUCAGCUCGGUAAAGAGAUGGGAAAGAAAGACCAGAAUGCUCACAGCUGUGAUGUCACGGGGGCGGGGGGUGGGGGGAGAGAACUGCACACAAGCCUGACGCCCUUAUGAUCCUUCGCUGCGGUUUCUAGAAUUUAUACAGUGAGCAUGUUGCGCUUUCAUAAUGCGGGGGUGGGGGGAGGGGUGUGCCCUAAAGAGUUAUAAUUAAAAAAACAAAGCACCAGCUCCAAGGGUCGCCUCUCCAGGAAGCCCCUGCCCCUUCUGUGUGGGCUGGGUCUCCUCCCCUGGGUUUCUGCCAUCCCUGAGACUCCCCUUUAUCUCACCACUUGCAGCUUUGUCCGGCAGGUGCCUUCCCAGUGGCAGUGGGACUUUGGGGGGGACACACAUUCCUUGCUGAAGGAUGCGUCCUGGUGGGGUCUAUCCCCCUUGCUCCAUUUCUCCCCUUUCAGAGAUAAGGAGCAAAACCUCACUCCAGCCGUUGGCUCUAUGAUGCUUCCAACCACAUCCUGACCCCCUACUUUAAGGGUAAAGCCGGUUGUAAAGGGAGAAACAGAGUCCCCAGGCCACACCCUCCAACGAGCUCCGAAGUUUGAGCAACUUGCCUUUCAAAACAGGCCAGGAGGGAGGUGACUGCUAUAAAAAUACCAAUUAACACGGUGAAACUUGUACAUUUCUGGGACUAAACAUUUGACAUUCUGCACUCGGUUUGUGUCCCCGUGUGGUCCCUGUGCACCCAGGGUCCAGAGUCUGGAGGCCUGAGAACAGCAUGCAGGCAGGCAUGGAAAUGCCCUCCCCCCCACCCCCAGGCAAGCCACAUCCGUGAGCAUCUUUGUCAGUCGGAGGUGUUGAAAGAUGUGACAGCCAGUCUGAUGGCAGUGUUCCGAGGGCAUCAGCGCUAAAAGCUCCAGGAUACACACGCUCUGUUCAAAGAUUGCCUUCCAACGCCUGCUCUGUGCUUCUCCCUAAUCAGCUGCUUGGCCACGCACCGUCAUGUUUGAUGCAUGUGUCCUGAAGGACUCACCUGUUUUUCUGUGGCAUCCCGGGAUUCAGGCUCAGGCAAAUGGCCAGAGCUCUGUGAUAAAACCAGCAGCCCCGCAUCUGUGUCUUCCUAGCAGCCCAUCAGAAGGGCCUUGAAAAAAAGGCAUGGCUCUGAGAGAUGCCAGAAUUAAACUGGAGGGCAAAGCUCCAUGCCUAAAAUAAAGACCGUGGGAACUGCUCUCUUCUGUAGCUGGACAAAGCGUUUUCAUUUAAAAUCGACCUAAGUUGGAACGGAUACCUUUGAUCACCACCUCUGGGCUCUCAUACCCUUGGCUCGGUGCCCUGGAAGGGAUUGAGUUCCAGGCAGAGGGGGAAGCUGGGGCCAGGGCCUGGCUCUGGGGUUGGAUGGCGAGAGGAACAGUGAGUGGCCCAGGACAGCUGGAGAGGCUGGGGAGGGAGGGGCAUGUGGGGGAGAGUGCCAGAUUCUAGGGGUGAGAGGAUGUCUGUGCCGUGGUGAGGGAGGGACUCUGGCUGGCCCCGCCACAGCACCAGUCUGUACAGGGCUCCUGGGGCCACUGGUUUCUGCUCUGGGAGCCACAGGCUCUCUUGAGCUGGGCAAUGGUCUCGGUCCCCCUAAUGCUGCAGGGUUACUCACCACCCUCAGACCCCCUUCGGGCUGUCAGAUGUGUUUCCCUAUUAGAUGACCCAAAUUUAGGGGAAAGGCCUCUGAAUUUUUAUCUCCCUUUAAAAAAGAGGGCAGUUCUUUCAUUUGAAAAGGUUUUUCUUUUGCUUGCUUUGAGAUUUUAACACUGUAGCCCAGAGUAGUGGAUAAGAGUGUGGGGUUAUCUGCUCGAAGAGACACAGCUUAAAAUCCCAUUUCCUCCACUAGUAACUACUGUGCCGAUUGGGCAAACCUCCUCCCUUCUCUGAGCCUCAGUUUUCUCAUCUGCAAAAGGGAACACGCCCAGUGGAGGUUAGUCCUUGUCAUCGGAGGCUUGACAGCGAAGACUGAGGGUCUGUGCUCUACGGGCAGGGCCAUGCACCCAGGAGUGGCUCAGGGAGGAGGUGAGCGAGUCCUGCAGACUGAGAGGGUGACUCCACAGCCUGGGGAGAGGAGGGGAACAGACGGGCAUUCUGAGCAGCUGGAAUAGUGUGGGCAAAGGCUCAAGAGCCUGGUAGACUUGGCGUCUGUCGGGGAGCGAGUGAGUGAGGACCGAGGGCAGCUGAGUGGGGCUGCACAGGGCCUGAGGGAAUUAACUGGAUCCGCCAGGACAAGGACUUAAAAGAAAUUUUUUUAACAGCGGCCCAAAGUUAAGGGAUGCACGUUCUAGCGUGACCCUGUCUGAAUCCAGUUGUAGGAAUGUAACAAACCAGAA